rnacentral:rRNA from 1 species
UACGUAGGGUGCAAGCGUUAAUCGGAAUUACUGGGCGUAAAGGGUGCGUAGGCGGUUCGUUAAGUCUGUCGUGAAAUCCCCGGGCUCAACCUGGGAAUGGCGAUGGAUACUGGCGAGCUAGAGUGUGUCAGAGGAUGGUGGAAUUCCCGGUGUAGCGGUGAAAUGCGUAGAGAUCGGGAGGAACAUCAGUGGCGAAGGCGGCCAUCUGGGACAACACUGACGCUGAAGCACGAAAGCGUGGGGAGCAAGCAGG